rnacentral:lncRNA from 1 species
UUGGCUGCCAUAUCACACUUUUUGACUCUUGUGAGUCCACUCAGAAUCCCAGAUGUUGUUCAGACAAAUUGCUCACUCUGACUACCUUUUUCUAUAUUUGUGAAAUUGAAUUUUUCAGUCCUUUCAGUUUUCAGACUUUACAUUUAUUCUUUUUCGAUUUCUCCUUAGUAGAUUUGCCUUAGUACUGUAACCUGAGAUCUUUUUCCUUCUUCUUCAUUAUCCAGAAGAGGAAACCAAAGUCCAGAGAGGUAGCAAUUAUUUUUUCUCUUUUUUGAUUUUGUCUUUAGUCCAGUCUGUGAACAUGAAGACAAAUGAUUUCUGUGGACAUAUGGGAUGCAGAUGGCCAGUUGGAAGGUGCCGUGGACAUAUAGCAUGUGACCAAAAGGUGAAGGGCCACCUAUUCAAAGGCCUGGUCCUACCACAUGUUACACGAUUUUGCUUGGUGUUAUUUGACCUGGCCCCAAAGCCUGCAAUUUGAUGCUGCCCUAGCUGCCCCCCACAGGUUGAGAGACAAGAGGGCACUCUUCUGACAUGUGCCUCCUCUUCUCGACACAUGUUCGCCAAACCAUCACUUAACCUUUCUGGCCGUUCAUUUGUUAGCAGAUUUUCAGCAGGCCUCAGAAGGGCCUAAGAUCUCUUACAAGCCUAUACUAUUCUGGGGCCAAUUUCACUUUAAGGACCUUUCCACCUGGAGCAGACAGCCUGAGGAAUGCCAGAAAAAGCCAGCCACUAGAGGCCAAUAACAAGCACAGGAGGAUGCUGGGGAUUGGAAUAGUGAGCAACGAGGAAUGCAGCUUCCCUGACUGAUCUGCAUGCUCAUUAGCUCACCCCAAGGAAGAAAAUUGGGAAGGGAAGGCUGGAGCAAUAAUGACGACAGCUCACAUCCAUAUUGCUUUAAAGUUUGCAAAGCACCGGAUGUACACAACAGCACUGUGAGGUAAGGGUCACAUACAUUAUUAUCCCCAGUUUACAGAUUUGGAAACUGAGGCAUACAAAAGUUGAUGACAAGCUAAGGGUUACACAGCUGGUAUACAUUAAAGACUGC